UACGGGGGGGGCAAGCGUUGUUCGGAAUUACUGGGCGUAAAGGGCGCGUAGGCGGUCUUCUAAGUCCUGUGUGAAAUCCCUCGGCUCAACUGAGGAACUGCACGGGAUACUGGAAGACUUGAGUUCGGGAGAAGGAAGCGGAAUUCCGGGUGUAGCGGUGAAAUGCGUAGAUAUCGAGAGGAACACCUGCGGCGAAGGCGGGUUGCUGGGCUGACACUGACGCUGAUGCGCGAAAGCCAGGGGAGCGAACGGG
rnacentral:rRNA from 1 species